rnacentral:rRNA from 1 species
UACAGAGGGGGCAAGCGUUGUUCGGAAUUACUGGGCGUAAAGGGCUCGUAGGCGGCCAACUAAGUCAGACGUGAAAUCCCUCGGCUUAACCGGGGAACUGCGUCUGAUACUGGAUGGCUUGAAUCCGAGAGAGGGAUGCGGAAUUCCAGGUGUAGCGGUGAAAUGCGUAGAUAUCUGGAGGAACACCGGUGGCGAAGGCGGCAUCCUGGACCGGCAUUGACGCUGAGGAGCGAAAGCCAGGGAGCAAAGCGGG